CGGGGCGAGUAAUGUCUGGGAAACUGCCUGAUGGAGGGGGAUAACUACUGGAAACGGUAGCUAAUACCGCAUAACGUCGCAAGACCAAAGAGGGGGACCUUCGGGCCUCUUGCCAUCGGAUGUGCCCAGAUGGGAUUAGCUAGUAGGUGGGGUAAUGGCUCACCUAGGCGACGAUCCCUAGCUGGUCUGAGAGGAUGACCAGCCACACUGGAACUGAGACACGGUCCAG
rnacentral:rRNA from 1 species